rnacentral:rRNA from 1 species
AUACGGAGGAUGCGAGCGUUAUCCGGAUUUAUUGGGUUUAAAGGGUGCGUAGGCGGGCUGUUAAGCGUGAGGUGAAAGCUCGGGGCUCAACCCCGGAACUGCCUCGCGAACUGGCGGUCUUGAAUGUCCGUGCCGUGGGAGGAAUGUGUGGUGUAGCGGGGAAAUGCAUAGAGACGACACAGAACACCGAUUGCGAAGGCAUCUCAGGAACGGAUGAUUGACGACUAGGCACGACAGCUGGGGGAUCAAACAGGAUUAGAUACCCUGGUAGUCCACGCAGUAAACGAUGAUAACUAACCGCUGGUGCGCAAGUAUCAGUGGCCAAGCGAAAGCGAUAAGUUAUCCCCCUGGGCAGUACGGCCUCAAGGUUGAAACUCAAAUGAAUUUACGGGG